GCCUUCGUGGUGUAGUGGUCCACACGCUCGGCGUGUAUUCGAGAGGUCUGCGGUUCGUAUCCCGCCGAGGACA
rnacentral:tRNA from 1 species